UACGUAGGGGUCGAGCGUUGUCCGGAGUUACUGGGCGUAAAGCGCAUGCAGGCGGCUCAUUACGCAUGGCGUGAAAGCCCCCGGCUUAACCGGGGAGGGUCGUCGUGAACGGGUGAGCUUGAGGGUAUCAGGGGCUGGUGGAAUUCCCGGUGUAGUGGUGAAAUGCGUAGAGAUCGGGAGGAACACCUGUGGCGAAGGCGGCCAGCUGGGAUACACCUGACGCUGAGAUGCGAAGGCGUGGGGAGCGAACGGGAUUAGAUACCCCGGUAGUCCACGCAGUAAACGAUGCAGACUAGGCGUGGGAGGACUUGACCCCUUCUGUGCCGGAGCUAACGCGAUAAGUCUGCCGCCUGGGGAGUACGGUCGCAAGACUAAA
rnacentral:rRNA from 1 species